CCGGCAUGAGGCUCAUGCACGUAGUAGCAUUCGCAUGGUCGUACGGAUGCGUCAAACAGGCGAGAGGGAGAGCAGUACAACAAAGGACCAAGAGACGGAUGCAGCAUUCUACCGGAGGCGGCGAGCUUCACGCUCACUCUCCAGGAGAGCCAGGAUGUCCUUCUCGCGGACAGGACCCUUCACGUUACGAAUGAUGGAACGGCUGGGGUCGUCCAUGAACUCAACACGGACUUGUGUAACACCACCACGGGAGCCAGUGCGCCCAAGGACCUUGGUGACAGUUGCGAGCUUAACGGGGG
rnacentral:misc_RNA from 1 species